rnacentral:rRNA from 1 species
AACGAACGCUGGCGGCGUGCCUAACACAUGCAAGUCGAACGAGAAAGUCCCUUCGGGGGGCGAGUAAAGUGGCGCAAGGGUGAGUAACACGUGAAUAAUCUACCCUCGAAUCUAGGAUAACCUGGCGAAAGCUAGGCUAAUACUGGAUAAGACCACGCUUCACAAGAAGCGCGGCAAAAGGAGUCUCAAACUUCGUUUGAGGAUGAGUUCGCGGACCAUUAGCUAGUUGGUGAGAUAACAGCUCACCAAGGCAACGAUGGAUAGCCGGCCUGAGAGGGUGAACGGGCCACACUGGAACUGAGACACGGUCCAGACUCCUACGGGAGGCAGCAGUGGGGAAUAUUGCGCAAUGGGCGAAGCCUGACGCAGCAACGCCGUGUGAGCGAUG